UAAUUAUUACAACUUUCAACAACGGAUCUCUUGGUUCUGGCAUCGAUGAAGAACGCAGCGAAAUGCGAUACGUAGUGUGAAUUGCAGAAUUCAGUGAAUCAUCGAAUCUUUGAACGCACAUUGCGCCCUUUGGUAUUCCAAAGGGCAU
rnacentral:rRNA from 1 species